UUUAAAAAAGGAACUCGGCAAACAAAGACCCCAACUGUUUAACAAAAACAUAACCUUUAGCCUAACAAAUAUUAAAGGCAACGCCUGCCCAGUGAACAAUUAAACGGCCGCGGUACCCUAACCGUGCAAAGGUAGCGUAAUCAUUUGUCUACUAAUUAUAGACCUGUAUGAAAGGCAAAAUGAGGGUCCAACUGUCUCUUAUAAUAAAUCAAUUAAACUGAUCUCCUAGUAAAAAAGCUAGAAUGACAACAUAAGACGAGAAGACCCUGUGAAGCUUAAACUAAACUAUUAAAACACAUAAUAGCUACUUUCGGUUGGGGCGACCUUGGAAAAAAAAAGAACUUCCAAACACCAUGAUUUUACCUCAUACCACAAAACUAGGCCAACAAGCCAACAAAUGACCCAGCACUGCUGAUAAUGACCAAUGUACAAGU
rnacentral:rRNA from 1 species